rnacentral:lncRNA from 1 species
UGAUGAUCUAAGAUUGAAUGAUGCUAAAGAAAAGCACUGUUUAUAAAAUAUCUGAUAAAAAUAUUUAUCUCUAUUAACAUUACAACAGGAAGGUACGUGUUACCGAAUUAUGAUCUCACAGAGGGCAGUUUUAGACAAUACUCAGAGGCUCCUCUUUCUCUCCGUCUUGUUUGAAGUCUUUGUUUUCGGCUCCUUCUUCUUCUGCCUCCACCUUGUUUUCAUCACUCCCUUCAUCUACAGCAACCUCUUGCUCUCCUUCUUCCUUUCUAUCCUCUUUUCCACCAUCUUUCUCCUUUCCAUCUUCCUCAUGCAGAUCUUCCUUUCCACCUUCCUCAUGAUGACCUUCCUUCCCAUCUUCCUUACACUGACCUUCCUUUCCAUCUUCCUCAGGCUGAUCUUCCUUUCCAUCUUCCUCAGGCUGACCUUCCUUUCCAUCUUCCUCAUGCAGAUCUUCCUUUCCAACUUCCUCAUGCAGAUCUUCCUUUCCAUCUUCCUCAGGCUGACCUUCCUUUCCAACUUCCUUGUUUUCCUCCUCUUUGCAUUUCCCAUCAUCCUCCUCGGCUUCCUUGUUUUGUUCUUUUACUUCUUUUUCUGUUCCAGUGUCCCCCUCUUUGUCAUCUUUCUCUUCUUCCUUCUCAUCACCUUCUUCUUUGCCAUCUUCUCCUUUUUCAUUGUCUCCUUUCUCUUCUUCAUCUUUGGACACCUCUGCAUCUUCACUUUUGGCUGUACCUGGUUUCUCGUUUAGGCCUUCUUCUUCUAUUUUUCCGUCUUCCACCUCCUCACCUGUAUCUUUGUGCUCUUUUCCAUCUUCAUCUUUCUCCACAUCUUGAAUGUUUGCUUUUAGCUCAUCAUCUUUGGCUUCUGCUGCCACUGCUUCUUUCUUUUCUCCUCCAUCUUCUUCAGUGUCUUCAUUUAUCUGUUCUUUUACUUCCUCAGCUUCCAUU